rnacentral:tRNA from 5 species
CGCGGGGUGGAGCAGUCUGGUAGCUCGUUGGGCUCAUAACCCAAAGGUCGGAGGUUCAAAUCCUCCCCCCGCUACCA